rnacentral:ncRNA from 1 species
GAAAGCCGUAUGCGGGAAAACCGCACGUACGGUUUGACGAGGGGGAAAGGGUAAAACCUUUUUCUACUCUAC